rnacentral:rRNA from 1 species
GACGAACGCUGGCGGCGUGCUUAACACAUGCAAGUCGAACGAUGAAAGCGGGAGCUUGCUCCUGCUGGAUUAGUGGCGAACGGGUGAGUAACACGUGAGCAAUCUGCCCUUGACUCUGGGAUAACGCCGAGAAAUUGGUGCUAAUACCGGAUAUGACCCCUGGCGGCAUCGUUGGGGGUGGAAAGUUUUUCGGUCAAGGAUGAGCUCGCGGCCUAUCAGCUAGUUGGUGAGGUAAUGGCUCACCAAGGCGACGACGGGUAGCCGGCCUGAGAGGGUGACCGGCCACACUGGGACUGAGACACGGCCCAGACUCCUACGGGAGGCAGCAGUGGGGAAUAUUGCACAAUGGGCGCAAGCCUGAUGCAGCAACGCCGCGUGGGGGAUGACGGCCUCGGUGUAACCUCUUCUAGUAGGAAGAAGACGAAGUAGACGGUACCGUACACGAAGAAGAC